CGCCACCUGAUAUCAGCUGUACCUAUUUUUGCCUUGUCACCAUGAAUUACAGCUACGUGUUUUUACAGUAAUCUCAUGCUGGUUAAUUAAAUGAUUUCCUCAGUGUGACUAAGCAGUUUGGAGCAAUGACACAGCAAAAGUUGAGGCUGAAUGUCUCUCUCUCCACCUGCCACAGCUCUGGAGCCUCCCUCCUUCCCGAUCAGUGCAAAGACUCUACACGCUCGUCCGAUCAUCCACAAUAGUGAUCGUGUUGAGACCAACCUUCCAAGAAGUGAUUCUCGAGGUGUUUCGCAGAGGAUCAUCACUGCAGACCUCGUUCCACCCUGACUCUUCCUCCAUUUCUGGGAUUCUCCCUGAAGACGGUAUCAUCACCAUCUAAUCUGAUCUCUGCGCCUCGCUGGGCCUCACAUCCCUUUUGGAAUUUUGUUGUGCAAUGAAAAACAAUUCUAGAAAAUUCUCAGCGAAGCCUUUUGUAACAGAGCUGAAACAGCUGUGAAGCACAACGAUGUAAAGUUGGAAUUAGUACUUUUAUUUAAGUUAAGGAUCUGAAUACUUCCUCCACCUGUUGAAACAGCAGACUGAUCAUCACCAGUCUCUCUGACUAAGUCAAUACAUAUUACAUAUUACAUAUUAUCUUAUCCAUUGUUAAUGUACAAAUAAUGACAAUCCAAGCUUUACUAAUUCAAUGUUAGAGUUUAAAUCAUGCUUUAUGAGCUUCCACUAAAUUGAAAUGUGUUGUGUU